rnacentral:rRNA from 1 species
GAUGAACGCUGGCGGCGUGCCUAAUACAUGCCAGUCGAGCGAACGGACGAGAAGCUUGCUUUUCUGAUGUUAGCGGCGGACGGGUGGGUAACACGUGGAUAACCUACCUAUAAGACUGGGAUAACUUCGGGAAACCGGAGCUAAUACCGGAUAAUAUUUUGAACCGCAUGGUUCAUAAGUGAAAGACGGUCUUGCUGUCACUUAUAGAUGGAUCCGCGCUGCAUUAGCUAGUUGGUAAGGUAACGGCUUACCAAGGCAACGAUGCAUAGCCGACCUGAGAGGGUGAUCGGCCACACUGGAACUGAGACACGGUCCAGACUCCUACGGGAGGCAGCAGUAGGGAAUCUUCCGCAAUGGGCGAAAGCCUGACGGAGCAACGCCGCGUGAGUGAUGAAGGUCUUCGGAUCGUAAAACUCUGUUAUUAGGGAAGAACAUAUGUGUAAGUAACUGUGCACAUCUUGACGGUACCUAAUCAGAAAGCCACGGCUAACUACGUG